CAAAGCGCCGGGAUUACAGGUGUGAGCCACCAUACCCGGCCCCAAAUUUGUUUAUAUGUGCUGAGCUUCCAUCUUUUGGAUUAGGGUUUGAUCUUCAGGGCUGUGUUUGAGAAUUGUGGGGGUAGGAAAAGAACUAGGAGUUUAAGCAGAUUGGGGAAGGGGCAGAAGAGAUUGGGAAGAUAAAUAUUGUUAGGGAUUCGCUGCUAAGAGUUUCUGUUUCAGGAGAACUUAGUGAGUUUUUUAUCUGAACUACUAAUUACAGAGUGUAUUUUAACUAAAGGUCUGCAGAACAGAAGGAGGCUUAUAAUAAGAAAGCAUGCCGUGGUUCUAUCUUGACUUUGCCUACAUUGGAUUUAACUCCCCAUCUAAGAAAACUUGACAAUAUGUGUUUUUAAAGUUUACAAAGGAGAAGAAGAUUACAACUAAUGUUAAUGUUUCUGUACUGAUGAAAAACAAAUUCAGAUCCAACAAAGCUGAAAGAUGGAACUUGAGGGCUCUCAGAAAUCCCAAUAGGCCUAAGGCUCAGAGAGGGCACAAAAUCCACUCAAGGUCAUGAACACUCCCUUUCCUCCGACUGACUGAUGGCAGCACUGGGAUUAGAUUCAGAUGCCAGGACAAAAGGACAAGGUGGCCAGGAGAAGCAGAAAGGUGUUGAGAGGAGAAGGAGAAUGGGAAAGGGUCAAUAAGAAUACAGUGAAAACAAGCAGCACCAAGGCAGCUGGGCAAGGCUGGACUCACACACUCCCUGAAGGCUCGGGUCCAGGAGGCACUGGUGGUACGAUAAGUUUUCUUCUCCUUUUGUGGAUUUCCAAUGCUAUUGCUAGCCUUUGUUUAACAUAACCUAUUUUUUGCUGCUGU